AAAUGUGUAGGGAAGCCUGCUCUCUUUUGUUGUUGUUCUAUUAACGACCGGCAUUAAAAUAAUUAUUUUGAUUAAAGAUUUACAGUAUAACACUGAUUCCCAACCAGUGUGCCGCAACAUUUUAGUACGCCGUAUGAGAUCAAUAUGCGCCACUGAACUUCCGAUGACUAAAGCUUUGAAAUAUUUAUGAUCUUUGCUCAUAUUUCUACAGUAUGCGGAACAAUUCAGUGUUCUUCCACUAGAUGGCAUUUUCACACAAAAGUAAACAUUUUUGUACAAGUUGCAGUUAAGAGAAGUGAUGAUUUUGAAAAACAUGUAAAAAAAAAAAUACAAAUGGCCUAGCUUCAUACAGUUAGUUUUAAAUCUUGUUUAAAGACGUGUAGCGAAGCAUCUUUUUUUCCUGCAACAGGACCUCGGCACCUCACCUUUCACGUUGACGGCAUAGAUGAGGUUCUCGGGGACUUUGUGCCAGACGUCCACCAGGCCGGCGGUGUGGAUGACGACGUCGGCGCCGCAGCUGGCCGCCAGCACGCUUUGGUAGUCGGUGAUGUCGCCCUGGAUGACUGUCACCUUGGUGCGAUCUGCGGGGAGGAAGCGGCAAAAAGUCGAGCGGUGAUGAUUGAUGCGACAGAAACAUCACUUCCUUUCAUUCACAGUCAGUCCAGGGCCACGCCUGUCCUGUGCCUCAUCGAGGUGCCCACGGCGCCUGAGGGGCCGGGCCGUACGACGUGUUUGGCAACGCACAAUGAUGGCUAAACAAAGCGGAAUGAAAACAUCUUGUUCACUCAUGCAGCUGGCUUAAUGGACUAAGGUCGGCCCCCGUUGCCGGGCAACAAAACAUGACGUUGACACAGGUGGCAGGGGGUGACAGGCCACAAUUCCACGUCGUUCGCACCGGGAAAAGGAAAUGCAUGGGAGUGGGACAUCCUGGAGAGGAUCUGCGCAAAGUCACCACUCCACAUGGAAUAUGACCGUUUUUUUUUUGUUUUUUGUUUUUUUUUACAGUUCAUUCUUGCUUACACAGCUGGACAAGAGGUGCCAAGAAGAAUGCAUGUCAUCCAACUAUCUUCAGGUUGCUUGUCAAAAGGGUAAAAGGUCACUGAUUUAUAAAAAAAAAAAAAAAGCUCUAAGGGAGCGUCUGCAAAGUGCAACAUUAAAUUCAUGUCGCAAACUAU